rnacentral:rRNA from 1 species
UGCGUAGGCGGUGCGGUAAGUCUUCUGUGAAACCUCCGGGCUUAACUCGGAGCCUGCAGAGGAAACUGCCGUGCUGGAGUAUGGGAGAGGUGAGUGGAAUUCCCGGUGUAGGGGUGAAAUGCGUAGAUAUCGGGAGGAACACCUGUGGCGAAAGCGGCUCACUGGACCAUUACUGACGCUGAUGCACGAAAGCUAGGGGAGCAAACAGGAUUAGAUACCCUGGUAGUCCUAGCCCUAAACGAUGAUCGCUUGGUGUGACAGGUACCCAAUCCUGUCGUGCCGGAGCUAACGCGUUAAGCGAUCCGCCUGGGGAGUACGGUCGCAAGGCUGAA